GGACGCAGCACCCGAUCCAUGAGAUGCUGAAACGUGGCCGGGGCCCCAAACAAGUGUGGUAAAUUGGUACAAACCGUACGGGGUGGAGAAUGCCGUUUUCUCCUUGGACUCUGGCGACAGAGGAAUCUGCCAGUAGCCCUUGGUUAAAUCCAGUGUCGUGAAGAAACGUGCAGUGCCUAGCCGGUCCAGGAGUUCGUCGACCCGGGGCAUUGGGUAAGCAUCGAACCGUGACACGUCAUUCACCCUGCAAUAGUCCACGCAGAACCGUACAGAUCCAUCCUUCUUAGCCACAAGGACGAUGGGGCUGCACCAGGCACUGUUGGACUCUUCUAUUACCCCCAACUCCAACAUACUAGCCAAUUCCCUCCGAACCACUUCUUUCCACUGCUUCAAUUGAUCAAAUGUCUGAAGUGUAUUCCCAUACACAUUCACACACAUAAUAAAACUAGUUUUAUAUGGUCAUCUACACAUACAUAUUAUACAUAAGCUUAUACGCAUGAAUAGGAUAUAUGAACUGUAUCAAUUUGAUUCUUUUGGCUUGUUUUUAUUUACAUACUCUGAAAGAGUUGAGAUCAUGAUUCUCAUUGGAGGAUGAUGCAUGCAUGAAGCGUCAUGAAAGAAGGCACAUUUAAAGAAAUAUAAUCGGAUUAGAGUAACGAGGCACUUAAAAUGAGCCUAUACAUUUUACCAACACGCAUUUAACGUUAACUUGUCUGCGAUACUUUGUUGGGCUUGUAGCCUCGCUACAAGGAGCGGUGUCAGUUUUUGCCAUGACUAUAAUUAAUUUCAUAUCGCACAUUUGCCUGAGGUCUUUACAGUCUGUACACAUGUGACAUCCUCUGUCCCGAAACCCUCAGCACAGGACAAACUCCCCAAACAAUGACAAGCCCUUUAAAGGUUUCUUCCCUUUAUUCUCCCCAUCAGAGAGACACAGGAGUAUCCUCCCCGGGAUGGACAGACUGAGAUGGACUUACUGAAUGAACAACGUAAAAUAUGUAUAAUACGUUCAAUUCAUGCGACAAAUGAUUCAAAUUAACAUCUCAUCAUAUGAGUGGAGAAAAGUGUAUUUGCUGUUAUACUGUUAAAAUAUCCUGGUUUUCGGUGAUCGAUUCUUCCGCAUUCCCUGAUGACUGACAGCUGGUUCAAACUAACGAGACUGUCCCCCUCACACCUGAAACCCAUCAGGGUAUGACGACCUGAAGGCCUUCAUAAGGGUGGGAGACACACCAUUGAGGGGAAGAGAGAGAUGAGCUGCAGGUUCGGCCUGAUGCAAAAGACCAGACCAAUACAGGGACUGAGAAGACGAGGCAUUAUUUAAGUUUUACCGGCGAAGAGCGACCGAAGCCCAAGUUGCAGGCUGGCCUUCAGCGAAACAAACUACCUGGGGUACACCAUUGAAAGGGGUUUGGUCAAGCCCCAGGAAGCCAAGUUGCGGGCCAUACAGGACUGGCCACAGCCCAUCACCAAGAAACAGGUGGUCAUUUUUAGGCCUAGCCGGCUACUAUCCACGUUUUAUUAUGGAUUUUGCUACCAUAGCAGCCCCUCUAACAGAACUGACUCCCUCUGAGGCUCACUGAAUGGUGAGGUGGAACCCUGCGGCGGAGGCGGCCUUCAGCAACCUGAAGCGAGCUCUGUGCUCUGGUCCAGUCCUGGUGGCACCAGACUUCCAGAAGGAAUUAAUCGUCCAGGCGGACGCUUCAGAGGGCUGGCAAGAGCCACAGCAAUGCGGAUGCGCUCUCCAGACGUGACGCCUUCUGCACCUCCUUCACCCCGACGAGGACGUCAGUCUCGAGGGGGGGUGUGUGUGAUGUCACGAGAGGCUGGGUCUUGGAAGGGAGGGUCAAAACCGAGAUAUCAGUCGAAUGGAAAACAAAUCCAAAAAGGGGGCACGCAAAAAUCCAUUGACUUUUCCCUGCACAGUUUGAAGAAUGCCAAGGGGUCCCAGGGCCACUGUCCUACCUGAAAGGCAGGGGAGGAGAUGAGAUGGGGAGCGACUGGAGAAAGCCGCAGGGCAAGAAGAGCGGAGACGUUCAGGGGCAACGGGCAAAGGAGGACUGGGAGGUGAGCGGGAGUUAAAUUAGGUGUGUAAUGUUAGGGUUGAUAUGAAGUGACUGAGUGUGGUGUGCUGUCAAUAAUUCGCCCUGCUCUUCGACAAUUCUUCUUCCUCCACUGACACUAAGAAACACCUUCUCCUCCUUAUUCUCCCAAAGAGAUUUCUUCCACCAGAAAUAGAUUUUGUGGUCCCUGAGUUCCACUUCUUUUCUAUCCAAGACAUUGAGAGAGAAAUACAGUUUCCUUUCAUCAGAGAGAUAUCACAUUAACAGCCUUAUAGCUUCAGAAAGUAUAAAUUUUAUUGGUAGUCUACUGAAACUGGAUUGGAAAAAUUGGAAAAAAUGGCAACUUGUAAGCAACUGGAGUUAUUUAAUGGACAACUAUAGUUUUGUUAAAGAGACAAACCCAAUGUGGGAGUGACAUUAUUCUGUUGAAUGCUAAACUGAUGUAAUUGAGUUUUUAUUGCGCCCCUGCUCGGACCACACACAGUGAGAGCCACAAAUGACAGAAAAGGUAUUCUUUGAAAUUCUAAACCUUAGAAUGCACUCAGUUCAAUACAGUAUUGCCUCUCAGUAUUUACUGCUUAAUCUUUGAUUUUUCCUCCACCUUAUAGGUUCCGUCUGCCUGUGCCUCCCCUUGGUGAUUGAAGAGAUGAGCAGAAUAACCAUUUAAUUGUGAAUCUAUUUCUUGUGUGAAUUUAUCAAUGAUAUUGUCUUAAAAAUCACAGAUAGAUCCUGGAAAUGUUGAAUUUUUACAUUUUGUCACCUAGUUUUUUUCGCCCUGUUCACCUAUCCACUAACUCUAUAGUCCUUUCAGAUCCAUUCUCCGCCCCAGUGAACACUUGCGUGCACUUCCCUCACUUGAUACUCCCGCCCUGCUCACCUGCAGCUCGUUCCCACAUUACUCAUUCACUAUUUAGGUUCACUCACUUGCACCUGCCUCUUGCCACAUUGUAUUGUGUCCCUGCCAAGUUCUUCAGCAUGACAUUGCAGUCUGUCUCUGACCUUUUUCCUCUGACCCCUGGCUGCUGUUUUUUUACCUUCAAUUCUCUGCCUGCUCCUUUUCUUUGGUUUGCCUGUGUGACUGAUAUCCUGGUUUGCACCCUGCCUGUCAACCAAGCAAACCCACUUUGACAUAUUGUGCAUUUGGGUCAGACUACAGCUUAAACUUAGGUUUGUUUAUUCAAACACAAAUUUAACAGACCCUUGAUGUUCACACACCUCAUUUUCUUUUGCAUGUUUGUAAAAUGACCAGAAUAUCUUAUCGCUAUUGAAGAAGAAAAAGCAGACAACCACAGUUCGCUGUUGAUUUGACAAAGAAUGUUUGAUGUUUAUAUAAAAAAAAUGGAAAUUGAGCAAUCUGGGAUCCUGUCUACGAGAAGGGUCUCUUUUACCAGCUCCAGCAGACAAAGGCCCCACUCACACACCUUUUGUCUUAUUACCGUAAAUAGCCGGCGGGCUAGCUAACGCCCUGAGGAAGAUCCUCCAUUUGAGUGUCUUCCACUACCAAGGACCCGAUUUAAUGGUGAUAAGAGGUGGUGAAAUGGUUCAAACAUAAUACCUAAGUUAACACUGACAUUUAAAAAAACGAAAACAUUCCACUUGAAUGUUUGUACAGUCAGCUACAGACCGUGGAUCACUUUACCUGUGGACAGAACAGGAUAGCAGCUUUCCUAUUCGAAGUGCAGUGCUCAGAUCAGCUGGCCGGAUACAACAAUGUUAGAAUACAACAACACACAGGAAUACGGUGGAUAUACCGUAAAUCACAGACUAUAGAGCGCACCUGAAUAUAUGCAGCACCACCUAAAUUUAGAACGAAAAAAAGAUGUGCACAUAUAUACGCACCGGCCUAUAAACCGCAAGUGUCCACUCCAGUGACGUGCGGUCGCUGGAGGCAGUGCCUCCCCUUGUGUCAUCAUGAAAUAUGAAAAAAAAAAAUGUAUAUAUAUAUUUGUCCACUGAUCUGUGAUAGAUUAGAUUCAACUUUAUUGUCAUUGCACAAGUACUGAGGCAACGAAAUGCAGUUUAACAUCCAACCAGAGUGCAAAAUAGCAAAAAAUGUGCCAGUGUAAUUAUUAUGUGAAGUGAGUAUGUGAAGUGUAAUUAUUAGAUCAAUCAAUGCGAUCAUUGUUAUAGUUUAAAUGAAUUUGUAUUUUCAGCGACUAGCUGCGCCUCCUUCUCGGAUUGUGCAAUCCCUCAUAAACCAGAUUGAGCUGCUCAUGUUUUUGCCCAAUUUCAGCACGUGCAAUUAAUGUCUCUAUAUGUCACCAAUGUAAUGUUUGUAUCACAUGUCCUCACUCCCCAUAGUCUGGGUCCUGUAUUUCACGCAUGUUAGCUAAUCUGACGUAACGGCGCAGUAAGGAGGCAGCUGGACUGGCAGCUUUCUGCUUGUCACUGUUGUGGAGGCGGAGUCAGUACCUCUGCCUGUCUGAAGGGGGCGUGUGUGAGCACACGGGAUCCUUCCGCUGUUGUUUUUCUUCACGUAUCACAGACUGAUAGCAUAGUUAGCAUGUGCUAACUUAAUCACAGAUUUUCAAUAAUAAUGAAGUUUGCUUUCAAAGAAGUUCAUGUACUCUAUGUAAAGGUGUGUGCAUAUGAAGCUGUUCAAGUCCAGUUCCAGGCCUUCUCCAACCUCCAUCAUAUUGCAGUGCAUGCGGUUCUCCUGCUGUCACUGCUUCCUUCCCUACGUCUCACUCUUGUCUAUUCACGCCUCACUGUUUAUCUUUUACAAUAUCUUUGCUUAUUCUACCCAGUAUCUUUGCCCCCCAACUCCCCAUCAACCCUUCCUUUUGUAUUUAUUGCUGUAUUUAUUUCUGCUGAAAAGCCAGUCUAGUUCAUUUGCUAGUCGACCAGGCAGAGUAGGGCUCCUAUUCUUAGGCUUUUAUUAACAUCAUGGACUGCACAACAGCUACAGAAUCUAUUAUUCAUUAAGUGUAACCAAUAUAAAAUUUAAAACAGUCUGGGCUCUUUUUUUGGUGGAAAUAUGUAAGGUCAGCAUAAUUUUCUGCCUAUUACUAAUAUCUAUAUCAUCUUUUCCUUAGUCAGCUCCAUUUAAAUAUGCAAUCAUUUACAGCUUUUGACUAUAUGUGUGUGCACACCCAAUAUCCAAUAUUCCUCUACUAGACUUUUUAUGCUGACAUCAAUGGCAAGCUAUUAAAGACAGUAUUUCAUUAUUGGUUCUUCUUCCCCAGUGGUUAUUUACAAUCCCAUAUAUACUAAGCACUGAUAUUAAAGGAGACCAUUUUAAUGAGGUGCUAUCUGCCAUGGCAAUAUGUCUUUCUCCGAAUGAGAUUGUGUUUAAAGAUUUUAUCAAGAAAUGGCUGUUCGGCAGGGUUAUGUUUUGUCCAUGAAAUAUGCAUUUCAUAUCUCUUUCAUUUCAUUAACAUAAUUUAAUUUGUGCUUUGCAUUCUGUGCAUAAUACAUAUUUGAUUUACAAAACAAAUAUUUCCAUUAGAAAAUGAAUUUCAUGCGCGCAAAAGGCAGAACUGAAAGAUGUAUUGUAAAGAAGUAAGAGGAGAAAAGAAAACGAAUUGUAUUAUCUUUGACUCAGGGAAAAGAAGAAAUCAUUGGCAAGUAAAAAUACUCUCAAUAGAUUUCUUAUGUGUGUAUGCGUGGGGGGACACUCUGUUAUAUGUGCAUGUUUGUAUAGACAGUAUGUAAAUGGGAAAUAAAAGUCGUUGGUAUAUUGCAUGGAGUCUAGAGCCAUAUAACACAGAUUGAUUUACAUGACCUGCAUAGGGUUUCCCUCCCUGAUGUUAAGUUCACUCAUCAGAGUCACAUGACUUGUUUUGAAUCUUGAUUUUGUGUCCCUCCUUUUGAGAGUGAGACCUGUCUUAAGUGGGCAUUCUGUGGGGAGAAUCGUUGUGUGGGACGCGCACAUCAAGAGGCUUUAAUUUUUCCCAUCUCCAAGGUUUGUGCUCCAUGCAUAGGGCCAUCUUCUAUGCUUCCAGUUAAGAGCUGUUUAGCUCCUCUUCCUUGAGC
ensembl:lncRNA